rnacentral:rRNA from 1 species
GAUGAACGCUGGCGGCGUGCCUAAUACAUGCAAGUCGAGCGAAGCGGGGACGGGUGAGUAACACGUGGCUAACCUCCUAUAAGACUGGGAUAACUUCGUGAAACCGGAGCUAAACCGGAUACUUCUACCUGAAUCCGCUCUGCAUUAGCUAGUGGGUAAGGUAACGGCUUACCAGGGCAACUAUGCAUAGCCGACCUGAGAGGAUGAGCGGCCACACUGGAACUGAGAAACGGUCCAGACUCCUACGGGAGGCAGCAGUAGGUAAUCUUCCGCAAUGGGCGAAAGCCUGACGGAGCAACGCCGCGUGAGUGAUGAAGGUCUUCGGAUCGUAAAACUCUUUUAUUAGGGAAGCGGUACCUAAACAGAAAGCCACGGCUAACUACGUGCCAGCAGCCGCAGUAAUAC